rnacentral:rRNA from 1 species
CCUACGGGAGGCAGCAGUGAGGAAUAUUGGUCAAUGGGCGCGAGCCUGAACCAGCCAAGUCGCGUGAGGGAAGACGGUCCUAUGGUUUGUAAACCUCUUUUGUCGGGGAGCAAAAGACGCCACGUGUGGCGUUCCGAGAGUACCCGAAGAAAAAGCAUCGGCUAACUCCGUGCCAGCAGCCGCGGUAAGACGGAGGAUGCGAGCGUUAGCCGGAUUGAUUUGGUUUAAAGUGUGCGAAGGCGGAAGAGCAAGUCAGAGGUAAAAUGGAGGGGCUCAACCUCUUCGAGCCGUUGAAACUGGUUUUCUUGAGUGAGCGAGAAGUAUGCGGAAUGCGUGGUGUAGCGGUGAAAUGCAUAGAUAUAACGCAGAACUCCGAUGGCGAAGGCAGCAUACCGGCGCUCAACUGACGCUCAUGCACGAAAGUGUGGGUAUCGAACAGGAUUAGAUACCCCUGUAGUC